rnacentral:rRNA from 1 species
AUUGAACGCUGGCGGCAGGCCUAACACAUGCAAGUCGAGCGGAAGCACAGGGAGCUUGCUCCUGGGUGACGAGCGGCGGACGGGUGAGUAAUGUCUGGGAAACUGCCUGAUGGAGGGGGAUAACUACUGGAAACGGUAGCUAAUACCGCAUAACGUCGCAAGACCAAAGAGGGGGACCUUCGGGCCUCUUGCCAUCAGAUGUGCCCAGAUGGGAUUAGCUAGUAGGUGGGGUAACGGCUCACCUAGGCGACGAUCCCUAGCUGGUCUGAGAGGAUGACCAGCCACCCUGGAACUGAGACACGGUCCAGACUCCUACGGGAGGCAGCAGUGGGGAAUAUUGCACAAUGGGCGCAAGCCUGAUGCAGCCAUGCCGCGUGUAUGAAGAAGGCCUUCGGGUUGUAAAGUACUUUCAGCGGGGAGGAAGGUGCUGAGGUUAAUAACCUCAGCAAUUGACGUUACCCGCAGAAGAAGCACCGGCUAACUCCGUGCCAGCCGCCGCGGUAA